UAGGCGGUAUCUGAAAAGAACUGCACUCGCAAAACAAAGCGUCAAUGCUGACAGACAAGUACAUAUUCCUUGUUAUUGCAGCGAAUUCUGCUCUGAGCCGUGGGGACCGAGACAGAAAG
rfam:Paenibacillus sp. 11 genome assembly, contig: Ga0139009_101